AGAGUUUGAUCCUGGCUCAGGAUGAACGCUAGCGGCAGGCUUAAUACAUGCAAGUCGAGGGGCAGCGGGGGUAGCAAUACCUGCCGGCGACCGGCAAACGGGUGCGGAACACGUACACAACCUUCCUAUAAGUGGGGGAUAGCCCAGAGAAAUUUGGAUUAAUACCCCGUAAUAUUGUUAAGUGGCAUCACUUGAUAAUUAAAGCUCCGGCGCUUAUUGAUGGGUGUGCGUCUGAUUAGGUAGUUGGCGGGGUAACGGCCCACCAAGCCUUCGAUCAGUAACUGGUGUGAGAGCACGACCAGUCACACGGGCACUGAGACACGGGCCCGACUCCUACGGGAGGCACCAGUAAGGAAUAUUGGUCAAUGGACGCAAGUCUGAACCAGCCAUGCCGCGUGGAGGAUGAAGGUCCUCUGGAUUGUAAACUUCUUUUAUCUGGGAAGAAAUGCAUUUUUUCUAAAGUGUUUGACGGUACCAGAUGAAUAAGCACCGGCUAACUCCGUGCCAGCAGCCGCGGUAAUACGGAGGGUGCAAGCGUUAUCCGGAUUCACUGGGUUUAAAGGGUGCGUAGGUGGGCAGGUAGGUCAGUGGUGAAAUCUCCGGGCUUAACCCGGAAACUGCCAUUGAUACUAUCAGUCUUGAAUACCGUGGAGGUAAGCGGAAUAUGUCAUGUAGCGGUGAAAUGCUUAGAUAUGACAUAGAACACCAAUUGCGAAGGCAGCUUACUACCCGAAUAUUGACACUGAGCACGAAAGCGUGGGGAUCAAACAGGAUUAGAUACCCUGUAGUCC
rnacentral:rRNA from 1 species